CGCGCCCAGCCUGUUUUUUUUUUAUUUAAUGAUUUUAAUGUUUCCUCUAGGGUUUAUUUCAUCUCGCCAUGGUCUAACUUCAAAUAAUAUUAUGCCACUUUACAUAUAAUGUAAGAACCUUACAAUUCGAUUUUUAUAUCCACCCCUCCUGUCCUUCGUGGUACUGUUAUCAGACACAUAAUGUACAUGUUAUAAAUUCCAUAAAACAUUAUAACCAUUUUUAUUUUUUAAAGUCAAUUAAUGUUAAAGUCUUUUUUAUAUUUACUCACAUAUUUUUACUUUUUUGGUGGUCUUCAUUCUCUUGUUUGAUCUGUGUUUUCACCUAAAACAGUUUAACUUUUAGCCUUUAACAUUUCUUAAAGUGCCAGCAUGCUAGCCAUAAAUUUUCUCAGCUUUCUCUGGAAAUAUCUUUAUUGUUGAAGAAUAUUUCUGCUGGAUGUAGUGUAUUAAGCAAUUUUUCCUUUUGGUACUUUAAAGAUGUCAUUUUCAUUGGUUUUUGGUUUGCAUUUGUCUUUGAGGAAGGACCAGCAGUCAUUCUCAACUUUUGUAGAAACGUAGUUUUCUUCCCUGGCUGUUUUUCUAUUUAUCACUGGUUUUAAGCAAUUUGAAUAUUAUGUGGCUUAGUGUGAUUUUCUUUAUGUUAUUCUUGCUUUAGGUUUAUUAUAGUUCUUUGACAGCUGCUCCCCUCCAAUUUCUAGGAACUCAAUUAUACAUGUGUUAGACUGAUGGCUAUUAAGCCAGAAGUCACCAAGAGUUUAGUCUUAUUCUAGUUAACUUUCUCCCUGCGCUUCACAUUGAAUUACUUCUGUCACUAUGUCUUCAAACUCAACUGAGCUUUUCUUUUGCAGUGUCUAAGUUGUUGUUAAUACUACCCAUUUCAAAAACUAUAUUUUUGAACUCUUGAGGUUUCAUUUUGGUUUUUUUUAUACUGUCCAUUUUCCUUUAUUAUGUUCAUAUUUUCCUUUAAAUCACUGAACACAUACAAUAAAUGUAUUAAAUUCCCUCUGAGGGAACAGGCACCAGCUGGCUAGUACAAGCCCCACUCAAGAUAAACCUCUGCAGCACAGAGCCUACAAAAAUGAGAUCUGCCAAUGUUCUCUGGCUGCUAAACCCAUCAGAAUAGUUCUAGAGGACAGUGAUACCACUUCUAAUGAGGUCAUAAAGCAUAGGUGUUAAUGAAAGUAACAAAAUGUAAUCUGCUUUGGGGAAGAUAACAAAACAUUUGAAGAAGGACAUUAUAAUCAGACACUGUAAGCCUCAGAGUUUAAUUGUAGGGGGUGUCAAGAUACCUGAGGUACAUGUGUAUGCUCCACAUGGUGUCUUACUCUUUUAUCAUCAAAACAGUGUGCAAGGCUCAUGACCAUAAGACCUUGACCUUAGACAUCUGAGCCUACAGAACUCUGAGAAAUACAUGUCUGUUGUUUAAGUUACCAGCUACAUGGCAUUUUGUUAUAGUAGCCUGGGCUAAUUAUCACAUUUUAGUGCUCAAGCCAGUCCCAUUCCCAAAUGGCAUACCAAUUUCAACCAAAUGUUUAUCCAAUUCAUGGUCUUGGCCAUGCACGCGCACGCAAACACACACACACACACCAAGUGAAAUGUGAUGGUUAUAAAUUGUGUCUACAAAUCCUAAAUCCUUUGAUACUCUCGCCAUCAAUAGGUGAGGGUCUAUUUCCCCUCACUCCCACCUUGAAUAUGGCCAACCUAAGUAGCUGGUUGACUGACAGUAUAUAAUAGGAAUAACACUAUGACUUCCAGGAGCAGGUCAUAAAAGGUGAUAAACUUUCUGCUGGUUUUCUUUGAGACAUUCACUCUUAAGAGUACAGUUGUCAUUCUGUCAGGAAGCCCAAACAAUCCCAAACAAACAAUCCCAUAUGAAAAGACUACAGAAAGAGGCCCAAAUAUACGCAUUCUAGGUGAUAGUUGAGGUCCCAGCUAAUAAGCUAGCAUCAACACGUGAGUGAACAUGUCUCCAGCUCCAGGCCAUCAAGUCAUUCCAGCUCUGGAGUCUCUCCAGCAGAGGCCCCGAUCAUCCACAGAGCAGAGACCAGCUGUCUUCUCUGUGCCCUGCCUGAAAUCUUGACACACAGAGACUGAGAGCGCAAUAAAAUGGCUGUUUUAUGCCACUAAGUUUUGGGUAGUUUGUUAGACUGAUGUAGAUAAUAAGCAGAACAUGAGAUGAGAAUAUAAUUAUGUAUUAAUGUAAAUUCUUCAUUAUACCAGGAAAAUACUUAAAGUUCAAAUUUUGAUCAUGGAAAAAAAUCAUUUUCUUAAAUGUAGUGCAGCAUGAUUCUAUAGCUAAUCUCCUAACUGCUAGAAUAAAGGAUCAAGGAAGAAGAAUAUGAUAAGAGGUGUGCUUUUUCUCUCCACUACUUUGGCUCUAAACAUGUCACAGAAUUGUAGGGUUCUUGGAUGGUCCAGCCAAGGAGGGAUCAGGCUAGACUCGUAGUGGCCUGGACAACCCACCCUGGUGCCAAAAAUAUUUGGGCAGGUCCCAAUUGAGCAUAUAACAUUAGGGCGAAAGAGCAAUGGGGAAGAAGGGCCAUAUUACUGUGGAUAUGAAAGAGUAAAAAAAGCAACAUUAGUGAAUACUGAAGGAUUUUCAUUAUUAUAUUUACAAAGUAAGAAGUAAAGGUUUAAUUGUCCUACUCUUAAUCAGAAUAUUUGAUACUUGAAAACAAAAUUCUUUGUGGAUGCAGUCUUCAUUUUUGCUAGUCUAGGAUAUUCACAGAUGCACUUUAAGCAUCAAGCCUGUGAAGAGGAAAUGCUUUCCUACUCCAGCUAAAUGCAAAUGGGAACUGCAGUGAUGACAGCAAAGGCAGGGAGUCUUCUGUUGCUACAACCACUUUGGGGCUACCAUGCUUCUCACUGUUCACCUCUUACCAAGUGUGUGCCAACUGGAGUACAACAGUUCCUGCCACCAUGGAGCUCAAGGCUAAAGAGGAAAAAUACACAAUCAUAUCAACUGACACAGAAAAAGGAUUUGACAAAAGCGAACACCUAUUCAUGAUAAAAACUCUCAACAAGAUAGGAGAAAAGUAAAACUAUCUCAACCUCAACCUCUAGGUUAUGUCUCACUUACUAGUGAAAGAUUGAAUGUACAGGCCUUGAGACUGGGAACAUGUCAAGGAUGUGGCUAUCAUCACUUUUAUUCAACAUGGUAUUAGAAGUUCUAGCCAUUAUAGCAAGGCAAGGAAAAAAAGACACGCACAUUAGAAAAGAAAUAAA